rnacentral:tRNA from 1 species
GCGCGAGUAGCUCAGGGGUAGAGCCGACUGCUCAUAACAGUCUACGCGCCGGUUCGAAUCCGGCCUCGCGUACCA